CCGAGAGUCUGGGGAUGGCUGCCCCAGCGCGUGCCUUUCUCUCCAUCAGGGCCGACGUCGUGAGCUUGGAUCCGUGCCCUCAGUGGUCAGUUCUCGGGCGUGGCCCAUCCAGGCUCCUGGGCAUCUAAGGCGUUUCUGCUGUGCAUGGCCCCCAGCAUGGACCUGCCAGCUCGUGGGACAAAGGGGAGUCUGCGUGGUGGGCAGCAGCUCUCAGCCGCUCGGGGUGGGGUGCGGGCUCACUGCUCCCACCCCCACAGCACCUGCAAGGGCGGGGGGCGCCCCAUGCCCCCCUGCGGGGUCUGCCCUGCGUGCGGCCUGCAGAGGUAUGUGGUCACUCAGUGGACCCCACCUAUUCUACUCCGUACCUCCAUGCUGACAGCACAGGGUAGCUGUUCACAAGUAUUUGUCGUGAAAGGCAAGAAGGGGGUGGGGAAGGAGGAGGGACAGGGAGGAGCCCCGGAGGCCAGCGGAUCCAGCAGGCACCGGCCAGCCCCCAAGAAUUCCACAGGCAAAGAGCAGAACAACCUGGGCGCUCUGACAGCUCCUGCUGAGAUGGACGAGCCCCUGGAGGCUCGGCAGGAGGCGGACACCUCAGGACCAGCGCAGCCUCGCGGGAAAGGAGAAUGUGGAGGACAGAGACGCGUCCCGAGACUGCCUGUCUCAGGCUGGGGGACGGGCCGGGAGCUGCCUGGGGAGGUCACUUGGAGGGCCAGAAGAUGCAGGGCAGGAGGCCGGCUGACCCUUGCCCCCACUUUCUUUGGGGGCACACGAGCUCUGAGCAGGGGGGACAGAAGAUCAGAGGGGCCGGGGAGCCAGGAGGCGCCACGGGGCAAAGGCUGGUGGGCGCAUGUCUGGCGUUUGAGGGUGCUGCUGUCGGCCGAGGCUGGCGGCUGAGAGGACAGAGCCGUCAUCCCAACACACACGCUGCUCGGUCGCUCAGUCAUCAGCAUCUGCUCGCCUCUCUCCACCUGCUGCCUCAGGCCCUCUGCAUGGCGGCUCGGCGCACAGAGAUCCUUAGACCCCCUUCAGAGACGGGUAGAUUGAGGCAUAGGGAGGUCACCCCAGAGAGCGAAGGGUGG
rnacentral:lncRNA from 1 species